GAGAGUCCACGAGUUUCUGUGAUGAAGGAUGGAUGAAGAUGACUCUUUUUUCUUACCGAUGAGCACAGAGCUGUAGACGGAGGGCGCAGAGCGGUGAACACUCUGUUCCCAGAUCAGCCCGGAGUAACAAACUCUACACGGGCUCAGCGGCUUGCCACAGCACAUCUGAUAUUUACACGUCGAAUGAAAUCGAGGAGGAGCGUACGGCCGCGCUGCUGCUGCUGCUGCUGCGGGACAAAGAGCAUCGCACGGGGGGAAGCUGCCCCUGCGAGAGCUACACGACGACGAGGUCUUCACAGUUCCUGCGGCAUGGCUUUGGACCCUGAAUGCACCGCCUUUCAGCAGGCUCUCCUGGGUCUCCAGGGUGUCCCAGUGAUUUUGGACCCUCUCUUUGCAUCGUGUCGCACACGGGGAGGAGGCACCCAGUCUCUGGUGGGGGAGCUGUGAGACAACACAAUCACUCAAAAGGCAGACGGUCCUGGUGGCCUCCUCUUCCUCCGGCAGCUCGUCGGGCAUCGGAGGCAGAACCGGCUCGUAGUCCUUUUGGGCCACCGUAUCGUGAGCCGAGAGCAGAGCCUGCAAGAGAUCACCAGACAGUUUGUGUGUUUCCCACAAUCCCGAGGAAUAAAAAAUAUUAAAAAAUAUGUAUAAAAUAUGUAUACACACAUUCAACAGACACAUUUAUACACAUGCACACAUAAAUAAAAGCACAACAAUCAACAUAUUCAAAAUAACAGUCACUUUGUGUGCCUUUAAACCGUCCUCACCACGAAUGCAUGCUUUAAUCUUUGUUUAAGAAAAUAUUUGAUCAUCCCUUGUGUUUAUUGGAUUGGCUUUUUAUUUAAUUAUAGCAUGUUAUUGUUUCCUUUUUUGUUGUUGUUUGAAUCUAGUGGAGGACUUCUUGCUGCAUGUUCGUAUUAUAACCCAACUUAAUAUACAUUCAGUUUUGUUUCAAUAUGUUUUUGUGCCUUUUCUUAAAUGGAAAGUGAAUUUAAAUGCCUAUAAAUGACAUGACAUGCUGCUCAAAGGAGACUUGUUUUCUCAGCUUGUCCAUGAAGUUAUGUUGCUGUAAACGAUAUAUGCAAAGUAUAUCCAAAAGACAACACAUUCAGACUUCCUACCUGCAGGUGAGGCUGUCUCAGGAGGCGGUAAAGCUCUUUGGCCUCUUCAGAGCAGCCCGGCAACGAUCUGAUAUCAAUCAGCAACUACACAAAGCAAAGUCCGACAUUUAUAAUGAAAGACUUCCACCAGAUGAAUGUGAGUUGGUAAUAAAACAUAAAAGAAGAGUAACCUGGAGUGAGAGUCCUGAAGCGUAGUCCAGAGCCGGAGCUGGGGAAUCACUCAGGAACGUUUGGAGACACUCGUAAACCUGAAAACAAUGUUAAAAUGAUGAUAAAGAAAUAACAUUUCAAGUUUCAAAUGUAUUAUUAAACACCUUGAGGCUUU